rnacentral:lncRNA from 1 species
CGCGCCGCCGCCAGCCGCGGACGUGGCUUGGCCCGCUCCAAAAUCCGGUGCUAACCUUGUGCUGGACGUGCCGUGCACUGCGGCCGCACCCACGCCACGCCGCCCCGACAGGGGAUGCCGAGCUGUGUGGGCGCGCGCCGCCCGCGGCCAGAAUAGCGAGCCGUAGCGUGGCGUGGCGUGGCGCUGAGCAGAGGCCCGGCGCGCCGCCUUGAGGAAGGUCCGGGACGCGACCGCCGCCGCCGCCACCGCCGCCGCCGUUUGUUUGCUCUGCCGCUGCCGCGAGGUCACUGCGCGCAGCACAGCUCUCGCUGAAAUGCCGCACUGUCUGCACCCCCCAUUGCCUGCAUCCACAUUAUGACCAUCAUCCCUAAGAAUGGCAUCAUCUGCACUGGAGAGCCAGAGGCCGCAACAUGGCCUACGCCGACGAUAUCCACACCCUCAGCUCCAGUCGUCGCAACACAGAACAUGUCCAGACUACAGCGGCUGGUACCGACAGCUUCGCCAGUACGUGGGCCAUUGCAAGCAGCAGUGCUCUCACGGAUACACACACAAUUUGAAUGGAGCCUUUGUAGUCUCAGUGAAGAUCGUCUCUCAGCCAUCAGCCACCUCUCUGCCCAUUCCUAUAGGAAGGAUGAAGAUGAUCACAAGAGCAGUCAUACUCAGUAUCUCGAGAUGCUCUUAGGGAUAUUAUAUUAUUUACCCAUUUCGAUGACACGGUCAGAUGCUAUGAUUUGGUCCUUGCCUGCCUAUAUGCUUUGGAAAGGGAACUUUUCAAUAUCGUGAACAAUCUGCAUUGUGUCGUCAUUAAGCGUAGCACUAUGAUAUGCUGCAAGCUCCCUCUCCCCUUCGGAGGGUGUCUCUGAAAACAUUGUUAUACAUAAUUGGAGUGAUAGUGGCAUGAUAUCGUGGGGUGCCUUAACUGCCGAGUGGUUUGAGGGCCUCAUUACAGGCCUGAAUGUCUCAGUUUUAAGCAAGAGAUUCUGGGAAAUCUAUGAGUAGAGUCCCGUAUCUAGACGUUCACAUGCGUGUGUCUGUUCCAGUACAUGGCGGAUUCAUCCUACAUUCCUCUUCUGAAGGAUGUAGCUGAUAGACAGGGUGCUUAUAAUGUCUAAAUAAUGACUGCUGUUGCUUUGCUUAGUCACUUCUGGCUUGUGCAAGAAAUUAUAAGACAAAGGCACAGCAUGUCAGUAAAUGUCAAAUGGAUAUUUUUGGGAAUUAUAAGCAUGAUGGUAUUGAACUCCCCAUGAGCCAUCAGGAUAUCAGUAAAUGUGAGAGGUAGAAUCCCAAUAUGCCUACUCAUGUAUAACGCCUGAAAGAAUACAAGUCAGAUGGUGCUGAUGAUGAUAAUGUUGUGCAUACAGUCGUUGGACCACUUCACCUCUCUAAAUUCGCUGGUUGGCAUCCGACACAUGCAGGUUUGUUGUUAAUCUCUCAGGGUGAGAAACAACACUGCCUCGGAAUCAAAAAUAUGUUCCUUCCCCUUUAACCCCCCCCCCCCCCCCCCCACACACACACACAGUUAAGUUCACAGAGGCAUAAAAAUCAUUUCUGUCCAAAGUUCCUGAACUCGUUUAUUAUGAGUGAGUGAUUAACACAUCAGGUGGACAGUUCUACAUAGGAAACAGUAUGUGUAGAGAUGCCCACUGAGGCAAAUAAAUUCUUAAAGUUUAA